UACGGAGGGUGCAAGCGUUAAUCGGAAUUACUGGGCGUAAAGCGCACGCAGGCGGUCUGUCAAGUCGGAUGUGAAAUCCCCGGGCUCAACCUGGGAACUGCAUCCGAAACUGGCAGGCUAGAGUCUUGUAGAGGGGGGUAGAAUUCCAGGUGUAGCGGUGAAAUGCGUAGAGAUCUGGAGGAAGACCGGUGGCGAAGGCGGCCCCCUGGACAAAGACUGACGCUCAGGUGCGAAAGCGUGGGGUGCAAACAGGAUUAGGUACCCUGGUCGUCCACGCCGUAAACGAUGUCGACUUGGAGGUUGUGCCCUUGAGGCGUGGCUUCCGGAGCUAACGCGUUAAGUCGCCCGCCUGGGGAGUACGGCCGCAAGGUUAAA
rnacentral:rRNA from 1 species